GUUUCAGCCGCCGCGGUAAUGCGUAGGGUGCAAGCGUUAAUCGGAAUUACUGGGCGUAAAGCGUGCGCAGGCGGUUAUGCAAGACAGAGGUGAAAUCCCCGGGCUCAACCUGGGAACUGCCUUUGUGACUGCGUGGCUAGAGUACGGUAGAGGGGGAUGGAAUUCCGCGUGUAGCAGUGAAAUGCGUAGAUAUGCGGAGGAACACCGAUGGCGAAGGCAAUCCCCUGGACCUGUACUGACGCUCAUGCACGAAAGCGUGGGAAGCAAACAGGAUUAGAUACCCUGGUAGUCCACGCCCUAAACGAUGUCAACUGGUUGUUGGGAGGGUUUCUUCUCAGUAACGUAGCUAACGCGUGAAGUUGACCGCCUGGGGAGUACGGCCGCAAGGUUGAAACUCAAAGGAAUUGACGGGGACCCGCACAAGCGGUGGAUGAUGUGGUUUAAUUCGAUGCAACGCGAAAAACCUUACCUACCCUUGACAUGCCAGGAAUCCUGAAGAGAUUUGGGAGUGCUCGAAAGAGAGCCUGGACACAGGUGCUGCAUGGCCGUCGUCAGCUCGUGUCGUGAGAUGUUGGGUUAAGUCCCGCAACGAGCGCAACCCUUGUCAUUAGUUGCUACGAAAGGGCACUCUAAUGAGACUGCCGGUGACAAACCGGAGGAAGGUGGGGAUGACGUCAGGUCAUCAUGGCCCUUAUGGGUAGGGCUACACACGUCAUACAAUGGCCGGGACAGAGGGCUGCCAACCCGCGAGGGGGAGCUAAUCCCAGAAACCCGGUCGUAGUCCGGAUCGUAGUCUGCAACUCGACUGCGUGAAGUCGGAAUCGCUAGUAAUCGCGGAUCAGCUUGCCGCGGUGAAUACGUUCCCGGGUCUUGUACACACCGCCCGUCAAAC
rnacentral:rRNA from 1 species